CACCACAGUUUUGACAAAGGUCCAAAUUUAAUUAACAUACUAGGAUAAUGUAUCAUAAAGUGGUGUUUUGGGAUGAGAUUUCGAGCAGGAUAAAGUUCUUUGAACAAUUUAUGAUGAUCUAUGAUGAGCUGUUUCAGGAAUACUGCAAGACCUCUGGUUACAACAGGAGCAAAUAUAAUGCUGCAUAUCUCUCGUAACAAAAUGAACAACUGCCAGUGCACACUCUCAGGAUUGACAAUGUCCCCCAAAAGAAAAGGCACAACAGUUUUUCUUCAUAAAUGUAGUGCUGAAGUAAAAGUCUCACUUCUAAAGGUGCAACACCCUCGAGCACAUCAUGCAUUAUAUGAACACCUACAUUUUCAGUUACAUGAAAAAAUUCUACGGUAUUCAAGCACGAGUCUUCUUUGAUUCCUGGAAUACUAACGUCAUUCAGCACAACAUGCUGGAGGACUUUUAUGUCAUCUAAAAGAGGCUCAAAGAUUUUUGCAAAGCCAUACAACACCGGCAGAGCGCCAGCAGUACGCCAAACCAGGCAGCAAAAAAGACUCAAAUACCCUCUCCAGCCUCUACAAGAGAAGAAGUGCUGGAACUGCAGAGAGACGUCCUACAGCUACACAGAGGCGUUUCCAGCAUUGAAGGACAUCCGGGGCUUAGCCCAGAUUUUAUUUGCACACUAGCAACCACUUCUCUGUAGUCCAAAGCUGGUGAGAGGGUAUUCUUUGAGUUUUGCUCUGGCUGGGCCUGUUUCUACAGUUCCUAAAUCUUCCACUCUAGUACUAUCCUCGACUAACUCAUCCUCUCUCCUCCCUGAAUCAUCUGUGAUGCAAAUGAACAGAUACAGCACAUAACGCAUUGCAAAUCAUCUUCAAACAACUAAUUCAUCAAGUGCUACAUAUUUC